rnacentral:rRNA from 3 species
UAUUAAAUUUUCUAUUAACAAAGGUGAAUCCCUUGGCGCUAAAUUUAUUGGGCGGAAAUUUUCGAUAUUCUUAGGGUCAACUUUCUCUAAGGUUCCCGUUUAGGAAACUUUUCUGGUUUAAAUAUUUGGUUCAUUUAAAUUAGGUGUACAUAUGAACGCGUAAGGCUUUAUAUCAACUUACUUGGCGAAUUGAAACAUCUUAGUAGCUUAAGGAAAACUUAUCAAAAGAGAAUCCCGUAACUAGUGGCGAGCGAACAUGGGUUCAGUUUUUUAAAGCAAUAUAUCAAAAUCAAAUCCAAAGAGGGUCUAAGUCCCGUAGUUAUUUUCUUUAAAAAAACCUUGAUUUUAAGUAAAAUGAAAGAAGCUUUUUUUGUUUGAAAACUGGGGAACCAUCCUCAAAAUCAAUAAAUACAGUUUAGCGACCUAUAGUGAAUAGUACCGUGAGGGAAAGGUUGAAAAGAGCCUUCUUAAGGCAGUGAAAAGGUCAAAUGUUUGACGCAGAUUCGUGAAACCUUUGUUUUUUAUCAGUCUUUCUAAAGAAUUACCUUUUGUAUAAUGGUUCAGCGAGUUUUUUGUAAGAGCAAGCCUAAAUUCAUCUUGGAGGCAUAGCGAAAGCGAGUUUUAAUUGAGCGUUAGUUUUUAUAAAAAGACCCGAAACAAAGUGAUCUAACCAAGACCAAAUUGAUAAUAGUUAUAAAACUAUUUGAGGAUUGAACUCGUAUCUGUUGCAAUAGAUUGAGAUGAGUUUUGGUUAGGGGUGAAAAGCCAAUCGAACUUUGAGAUAGCUGGUUUUUCGCGAAAUAUAUUUAGGUAUAGUCUUUAAUUUAUUUCUUUCCAAGGUAGAGCACUUUUUGGAAUCUUAGGGGAGUUUACUCUUACUUGGCCCUUAAAAACUACGAAUGUGGAAAGUUAAUUUUUAAAGAAUCAGACUUUGGGUUCUAAGGUCCUAAGUCAAAAGGGAAACAGCCCAGACCGUCAUUUAAGGCCUCUAAUGUUUGAUUAGUGAAAAGGAGAUUCAGAAUCUUUGACAGCAAGAAGGUAAGCUUGGAGGCAGCUAUCCUUUAAAGAAAGCGUAAAAGCUCACUUGCUUAUUGAUAUUGAUCUCUGAAAAUUUAAGGAGUCUUUUAGCAAACAGCCGAAAGUACGGUAGCUUCUUUUAGAAGUUAGGUAGCGAAACUUUCUGUUUUAGAGAAGACUUGUUGUAAAACAAAGUUGGAGACAUCAGAAUUGAGAAUGCUGAAAUGAGUAACGAAAAUUAAGUGAAGAAGCUUAAUCACCGCAAACCCAAGGUUUUCUUUGAAAUUAAAUUUGCAAAGAAAUAGCCGACCCCUUAGUUUAACCACGAAAGUGUAAAACAAUGGGAAAUUUGUUGUCCUUUUAGAUGCGACGAUACUUUUAUCUGUGAUUUUUAUUGCAGCUCAAAAAUAUCCGGGAAAAAACAUCUAAACUAGUCUUUAAUAGAUAAGAUCGUACUAAAAACCGACGCAGGUGGGUAGGUAGGCUUCUACUAAGGUGCUCGAGAUAACAACUCAAAAGGAACUCGGCAAAAUAAUCUCGUAACUUCGGAAGAUGAGAUAUCUUGUAAGGUAACCCUUAUUUAGAUGGCACGAAAUUGGGAAAAGCGACUGUUUAACAAAAACACAAGACUUUGCAAAUUUGUAACAAAAAGUAUAAAGUCUGACGUCUGCCCAGCACUAAUUAGUGAAAAAAGAAGGUUUUCGCUUUUUUUAUAAGCUGUAGUCAACGGCAGCGGUAACUCUGACCGUUUUAACGUAGCGAAAUUCCUUGGCUAUUAAUUGUAGUCCCGCAUGAAUGACGUAACGACUUUUCUACUGUCUCUUGAGUUGUCUCGGUGAAAUUGAACUCUGUGUGAAGAUGCGCAGAAAAUCUAGAAAGACAAGAAGACCCUAUCAGCUUUACUAAAUUCGGUUAUUACAUUUUCAGUAGUUUUGUGUAGACUAGGUGGUAGCGUAACUACGCGUUUAUGAAAAACCACUCUUAACUAUUUUAAUUUGUUAUUUUCACGGUACUUCGGAAAGUGUCCGAUUGUUAGUUUUUCUGGGGCGGAAGGCUCCUAAAAGGUAACGGAGCUGCGCAAAAGGCAAACUCAUACUAAUUUGUUUUAGUUUUUGAGUGUAAUGGCAAAAGUUUGCUUGACUGCGAGAUUUACGAAUCAAGCAGGGAUUUUUCUGUCGGCCAUAUUGACCCGAUGGUCCUGAAUGGAAAGGCUAUCGAUUAACGGAUAAAAGUUAUGUUAGGGAUAACAGGCUUAUGCCUUCUUAGAGCACUUAUCGAUGAAGGAUUUUGGCACCUCGAUGUUGACUCGUCCUAUCCUCAGGCUGUACAAGGUUUGAAGGGUUCGGCUGUUCGCCGAUUAAAAGGGUACGUGAGUUGAGUUCAGAACGUUGUGAAACAGUUCGGUUUAUAUCUUCUAGAUUUGUAGAAAUUGAGAGACCUUGACCCUAGUACGAGAGGAUUGGGUAAACUUUGCCUAUGGUUUGUUAGUUGUUUUAUUGCAUGCUAAUCAGCUACGCAAAGAAAAAAGUACUGCUGAAUGCAUAUCAAGCGGAAAAUUUAUCUUAAAAAUAUUUCCUUUAUUGGUGAAAAGAUUAUCACUCUGAUAGGCUAUUGGUCUCCGCCAUAUGGUACUAAUCUAACUAAAAGUUUAAUACG